rnacentral:rRNA from 1 species
AGCUCUUUCGGCCGUGAAGAAAUCGUGUUCUCUAACAUAGGACAUGGAUGACGGUACCGGACUAAGAAGCACCGGCUAACUACGUGCCAGCAGCCGCGGUAAUACGUAGGGUGCGAGCGUUAAUCGGAAUUACUGGGCGUAAAGCGUGCGCAGGCGGUUUGCUAAGACAGGUGUGAAAUCCCCGGGCUUAACCUGGGAACUGCGCUUGUGACUGGCAGGCUAGAGUACGGCAGAGGGGGGUGGAAUUCCUGGUGUAGCAGUGAAAUGCGUAGAGAUCAGGAGGAACACCGAUGGCGAAGGCAGCCCCCUGGGCCUGUACUGACGCUCAUGCACGAAAGCGUGGGGAGCAAACAGGAUUAGAUAC